rnacentral:rRNA from 1 species
GACGAACGCUGGCGGCGUGCUUAACACAUGCAAGUCGAACGGAAAGGCCCUGCUUUUGUGGGGUGCUCGAGUGGCGAACGGGUGAGUAACACGUGAGUAACCUGCCCUUGACUUUGGGAUAACUUCAGGAAACUGGGGCUAAUACCGGAUAGGAGCUCCUGCCGCAUGGUGGGGGUUGGAAAGUUUCGGCGGAUGGGGAUGGACUCGCGGCUUAUCAGCUUGUUGGUGGGGUAGUGGCUUACCAAGGCUUUGACGGGUAGCCGGCCUGAGAGGGUGACCGGCCACAUUGGGACUGAGAUACGGCCCAGACUCCUACGGGAGGCAGCAGUGGGGAAUAUUGCACAAUGGGCGGAAGCCUGAUGCAGCAACGCCGCGUGCGGGAUGACGGCCUUCGGGUUGUAAACCGCUUUCGCCUGUGACGAAGCGUGAGUGACGGUAAUGGGUAAAGAAGCACCGGCUAACUACGUG